rnacentral:rRNA from 1 species
UACGAAGGGGGCUAGCGUUGCUCGGAAUCACUGGGCGUAAAGCGCACGUAGGCGGACUUUUAAGUCAGGGGUGAAAUCCUGGAGCUCAACUCCAGAACUGCCUUUGAUACUGGCAAGCUAGAGUCCGGAAGAGGUAAGUGGAACUCCUAGUGUAGAGGUGGAAUUCGUAGAUAUUAGGAAGAACACCAGUGGCGAAGGCGGCUUACUGGUCCGGAACUGACGCUGAGGUGCGAAAGCGUGGGUAGCAAACAGA